GAGAAAGUUGAAUGGGUGAGGUCCUGU
rnacentral:piRNA from 1 species